rnacentral:lncRNA from 1 species
AUUUUCACAAGUAGGCUAAUAUAAACAUCAUGCCAAAAGCAUAGGCUUUUAUAAGGUCCUUUUACUUCACAACACAUCUUUCUUCGAUAAGCUCCUCUGUCAUCCACAUGGUUCUGUGGCUCCAUCAAAGGGGUUGCCACAUGAACAUCAAGCACAAACUAUUCUAUUGAGAAUUACUGAUUGCAGCAUUCAAUAAGAUAUGGCCUCAAGAGGACUGAGGGAGCUGAAGCUCCCUCAACCUACUCAGGUUGAAUAGUACCUGGACAAACCAAGACCAUGUAAG